UGUACUGACGUGAGAGUGAGGUUGGAAAUACGGACGGUGAGAGGGGUAUGGGGAUGUAUGGGGUAUUAAGGGUCAGUAGGCGGGCGUGUAAGAGAGUGGUGAAAGACUGCAGAUUAACUGUAGAACGACCGUUGAUACUGCGAGUCUUGAGUAAAUGUGAAGUGGCUGGGAUGAAUAGUGAAGCGGUGAAAUGCAUAGAUAUUACUUGGAAGAACAAAUGCGAAAGCAGGUCACUAAAAUUUAACUGACGCUGAUGGACGGAGGCGGGGGGAGCGAACAGGAUUAGAUACCCCUGUAGUC
rnacentral:rRNA from 1 species